UACGGAGGAUGCAAGCGUUAUCCGGAAUGAUUGGGCGUAAAGCGUCCGCAGGUGGCUGUGUAAGUCUGCUGUUAAAGAGUGAGGCUCAACCUCAUAAAAGCAGUGGAAACUACACAGCUAGAGUGCGUUCGGGGCAGAGGGAAUUCCUGGUGUAGCGGUGAAAUGCGUAGAGAUCAGGAAGAACACCGGUGGCGAAGGCGGGCAUCUGGGCUAACACUGACGCUGAGGCGCGAAAGCUAGGGGAGCAAACAGG
rnacentral:rRNA from 1 species